UUAAUAGCAUUGUAAGAGUGAUGACUUUUAUCGGUAUUUAUAUUGGUAGAAAAAAAAAUCCCAAACAUCCAAGGUAUGGGAUAAGCAGGUUAGAGCAGGUAGUAUUUAACACCUUGGUGACAAAGUGCUUCUAAAGUCAUGUCUGUAAAAUCAAAAUUAAUAGAAUGUAUUAUGUGCAUUUUCUGCGUAAUAUGUAGAUUGUGUGAUGAUAGCUAUACCGCCCCAGUCUGAAAGUCUGAUGAUGGUUCUCCCUGAAAGAAAAACUUGGCAAAAAUGUAAAUCUAACAAUAUUACACCAAAUUUAUAGUUUGUAUUUUUUGCAGAUGAACUUUACAAUUGUGACAAUGCAGCAAGGGAGGAGUUGCUUAGAUAAAACCUACAGUGUACAAUGUGUUGCAAGAACAGAGGACUUGACUAGAUAAAACCUACAAAUGACUUGCUGCAACAAUACAGGAUUUAAACAAGCUAAUCAUGUGCUCUAUAUUGAUCAACCCUAGAGAGUUAACCCUUAGAUGAUGGUAUUAGAAAUCUCACUGAAUCCAGUGAGAGAUACAUGUGGCCCAGCAGUAACAGGUUAAUGCAGUGCAUACUGAACAUGAAAAUCAGGUCUGCAGCUCAACCCAUGAGAGUUUAAGGAGAGCAUACUGAACAUGAAAAUCAUUUCUGCAGGUCAACCUAACCCUGGACUAUAUUCUAGAUGGCAUGUGGAUAUAUCCCAUGGUGCGCCAAUCUUGUUUUCCAGAGACAUGUAUAGUCAUGGCAAGCACACUAGGGUGAUAACAUAAACCCCUGGCAGCAUGGCCCAGGCCAUAACCCAGGAGAGGGGGCUUGCGUAUCAAGAAAUCACCCAUCAGCAUUGGGUUAAAGGAAAGCAUACUGAACAGAAAAUCAGGUCUGCAGCUCAACCCAUGAGAGUUUAAGGAGAGCAUACUGAACAUGAAAAUCAUUUCUGCAGGUCAACCUAACCCUGGACUAUAUUCUGGAUGGCAUGUGGAUAUAUGCCAUGGUGUGCCAAUCUUGUUUUCCAGAGAUGUAUAGUCAUGGCAAGCACACUAGGGUGACAACAGAAACCCCCGGCAGUAGGGCCCAUCAUGGGAGCACUGAGCCACGCAUCCGUGAGGGAAGGACACAUGGUCAUACACACAGACUCCAAAGGAGCUGUCGACUGUCUUCAGCAGCGCUCACCCACUGACAAUAUCUACCUUUUGACU